rnacentral:rRNA from 1 species
CCUACGGGAGGCAGCAGUGAGGAAUAUUGGUCAAUGGACGAGAGUCUGAACCAGCCAAGUAGCGUGAAGGAUGACUGCCCUAUGGGUUGUAAACUUCUUUUAUAUGGGAAUAAAAUGUUCCACGUGUGGGAUUUUGUAUGUACCAUAUGAAUAAGGAUCGGCUAACUCCGUGCCAGCAGCCGCGGUAAUACGGAGGAUCCGAGCGUUAACCGGAUUUAUUGGGUUUAAAGGGAGCGUAGGUGGAUUGUUAAGUCAGUUGUGAAAGUUUGCGGCUCAACCGUAAAAUUGCAGUUGAAACUGGCAGUCUUGAGUACAGUAGAGGUAGGCGGAAUUCGUGGUGUAGCGGUGAAAUGCUUAGAUAUCACGAAGAACUCCGAUUGCGAAGGCAGUUCACUGGACUGCAACUGACACUGAGGCUCGAAAGUGUGGGUAUCAAACAGGAUUAGAUACCCUUGUAGUC